AGAGUUUGAUCCUGGCUCAGAUUGAACGCUGGCGGCAUGCUUUACACAUGCAAGUCGAACGGGGUUAAGGGGCUUGCUCCUUAAUCUAGUGGCGAACGGGUGAGUAAUGCAUCGGAACGUACCCGGGAGUGGGGGAUAACGCACCGAAAGGUGUGCUAAUACCGCAUAUUCUGUGAGCAGGAAAGCAGGGGACCUUAGGGCCUUGUGCUUCCGGAGCGGCCGAUGUCGGAUUAGCUAGUUGGUGAGGUAAAGGCUCACCAAGGCGACGAUCCGUAGCGGGUCUGAGAGGAUGAUCCGCCACACUGGGACUGAGACACGGCCCAGACUCCUACGGGAG
rnacentral:rRNA from 1 species